rnacentral:lncRNA from 1 species
GUCAAGAUUCAUGUGCAUUAGAUAUGAAUGUUAGUACAUGAAUUAACAGCAUAAAAAUACAAAGUGUAGCUAGGAAGGGAUCUCAAUUCAUUAUAUAGAAAAGAUCACUAUACAUAUCCAUAUAUACAUGGCAAUUGAAAAAUAUACUCUGUUAGGAAAGGAUCUCAUUCAUCAUAUAGGAAAUAUUUGGAAGGUGAAAAUUCUUUGAGAAGAAUCAAUUAAUAUUUUAAACAUAAUAUUUAACAAAAAUUUCAAAUACAUUAAACGAAUAUUCGUGUCUUGCAUUCUUUACUUGGCGUAUUAUGUUUUUGAAUAAGAUUUACUAGGGUGAUUUAAUUUAAUAUAUUUCGAAACCUAUAUUAUAUUUCACACUAACAAGUAACACCUAAAAU